AGCCGUGGACCCAGCCCAGGUGGACCCAGCCCAGGUGGAAGGACCAGGAUCAGCCACACUCCACAGAAGAGGAGACUGAGCUCAGUCAGGAAACCCAGUAGAGGGGCCUCUGCACACGCGCACAGCGGCAGGGCGCCCCAGGGAAGAGGCCGCCCUUGACUACAGCAGGAGGUCAGCGAGCCAGCGGGGCGACAGAGUGACAGGGUGUGAGCAGGCCCGGGCGCAGAGCUGGGGGCGUGGAGGGCAAAGGUGGGAAGGGGCCCGACCUGCCGGCCUCACAUGCUUUGGGACCCUGAGUCACUGGAAGCUUCAGCCAUGAAGGAAUAGGACCCGGUUUGCUGAGUGCUGCCGGGGAGGUGAAAAGGAGGUGAGAACACCCACCGGGAGGCUGUUAGAGGGAUCCAGGCAAGUCAGUGGCAGGAAAGACGAGGGAGCCGAUCAGCACCAAGAGAAGCCAGCAAGCAGAAGUGACGGGGCUUGGGUCGCUGGGCUUCUGGAAGGAGGGCCCAGCAACGGCUCUCCAGCCUGAGCACAUGGGCGAAGGGCGCCCCAGCCCUCACGCCGGGCCCGCAGGACGGGAGCAGGCGCGGACGAGGCAGGCUCCGUGCGGGCACACGGGCUCCGAGUCGCGUGAAGACACUCUGUGCUACCUUGACCAUGUUCGGUCUUUCUGAUCCGUGAAGGUGGGAUGGCCCCCAUUCAUUUAGGGCCCCUUUCGCUUCUUUCAACAGUGUUUUGUCUUCAGCACUCAAGUCUUACACAUCUAAGUUGAUUCCUGAGUGUUUUAUUCUUUUUGAUGCUACAGUAAAUGAGGCUUUUUUAAAAGUUGAGAUAUAGUCAAUGUACAAUAUUAUGUGAGUUACAGGUGCGUGACCUAGUGAUUCAUAAUUUCGGAAGGUCACACUCCAUUUAUAGUUAUUAUCAAAGGGUUGGUUUCAUUUCCUGGGUUGUACAGUAUGUCCUUGUAGCUUAUUUAUUUUAUACACGACGGUUUCUAUUAGUCCCCUACCCUUUAUUUUAAUUGCAUUUUCAGAUGGGUCAUUGCUCAGGUACAGAAAAACAAAACUUGUAUCUUGAUCUUGGAACCUGUAACUUAGUGAAAUUUGUUUAUUCUUAUAUUUUUAAGUGUAUUCCUUGGAAUUUUUUCACAUAUAAAAUCAUGUAACCUGCAA
ensembl:lncRNA